GGGAGUUUCCUUGCCCUCAACCGGGAAGAUCUAGAAAAGACAGAUGGUUGCAGUUUCUGGAAGUGAGGAAGAUAAUUCUACCACUUCAGAAUCGCCAGCCCAGGACAUUUAAAAACCAAGGCACCGCUAAAGAAAAGAAGUUUCCUUCAGAGAUGAAUGUGUCCAAGAUAAAGGGUGAUGGCUUGAAGAAAGAACAAACACUCAUAGCUACACGACCCGUUAACACGAAAGAUCCAGAAACCAACCACUUCUGAUUUGGUUCCCUGCUGUUACUUAUUUAUGGAAGAUGGGUAAAUAGUGAAAUGUUAUAAAUAGUAAAAAA